rnacentral:tRNA from 1 species
GCGGACGUGGCGAAACUGGAAGACGCGAUAGCCUUAGGAGCUAUUGGGGAGACCCUUGGGGGUUCAAAUCCCUCCGUCCGCA